rnacentral:rRNA from 1 species
UACGUAGGUCCCGAACGUUGCGCGAAUUUACUGGGCGUAAAGGGUCCGUAGGCGGGUUAGCAAGUGGUUGGUGAAAUUUCACGGCUCAACCGUGAAACUGCCUUCCAAACUGGCAACCUUGAGGCUGGGAGAGGCCGGCGGAAUUUCCAGUGUAGAGGUGAAAUUCGUAGAUAUCGGGAGGAACACCAGUGGCGAAGGCGGCCGACUGGAACUGUGCUGACGCUGAGGGACGAAAGCUAGGGGAGCAAACCGG